rnacentral:rRNA from 1 species
UGCCUUUUGCAUAAUGAGCCUGCGAGUUGUGGUGUCUGGCAAGGUUAAGCCAAGUGCGAAGCCGUAGCGAAAGCGAGUCUUAAUAGGGCGAAAAUAGUCAGAUGCUGCAGACCCGAAACGAAGUGAUCUAUCCAUGAGCAGGUUGAAGCUGGUGUAAGAGCCAGUGGAGGACCGAACCCGCUGACGUUGAAAAGUCUUGGGAUGACUUGUGGAUAGGGGUGAAAGGCCAAUCAAACUUCGUGAUAGCUGGUUCUCUCCGAAAUAUAUUUAGGUAUAGCCUUGUGUUGUAGCAUAUAGGGGUAGAGCACUGAAUGGGCUAGGGCUGCUUACCGCGGUACCAAACCCUAUCAAACUAUGAAUACUAUAUGUGGAAUCACAGGAGUCAGGCGGUGGGUGAUAAAAUCCGUCGUCAAGAGGGGAACAACCCAGACUAACAGCUAAGGUCCCUAAGUUACAUCUAAGUGGAAAACGAUGUGGAGUUACUGUGACAACCAGGAGGUUGG